rnacentral:rRNA from 1 species
GAUGAACGCUAGCGGGAGGCUUAACACAUGCAAGUCGUGGGGCAGCACGGGGUAGCAAUAUCCUGGUGGCGACCGGCGCACGGGUGAGUAACGCGUAUGCAACCUACCCAGUACAGGGGGAUAGCCCGGAGAAAUUCGGAUUAAUACCCCAUAAUGAUAUUAAUAGGCAUCUUUUAAUAUUUAAAGCUACGGCGGUACUGGAUGGGCAUGCGUAAGAUUAGCUAGUUGGUGGGGUAACGGCCUACCAAGGCUCCGAUCUUUAGGGGUCCUGAGAGGGGGAUCCCCCACACUGGUACUGAGACACGGACCAGACUCCUACGGGAGGCAGCAGUGAGGAAUAUUGGUCAAUGGGCGCAAGCCUGAACCAGCCAUCCCGCGUGAAGGAAGAAGGCGCUAUGCGUUGUAAACUUCUUUUCCGGAGGAAUAAAAUUUUGUACGAGUACAGGACUGAAGGUACUCCGGGAAUAAGCAUCGGCUAACUCCGUGCCAGCCGCCGCGGUAAUAC